rnacentral:rRNA from 1 species
UACGUAGGGGGCAAGCGUUGUCCGGAAUUAUUGGGCGUAAAGAGCGUGUAGGCGGACCGUUAAGUCGGGUGUGAAAGCCCGGGGCUCAACCCCGGAACUGCAUUCGAUACUGGCGGUCUUGAAUACGGGAGAGGUGAGUGGAAUUCCUGGUGUAGAGGUGAAAUUCGUAGAUAUCAGGAGGAACACCGGUGGCGAAAGCGGCUCACUGGCCCGAUAUUGACGCUCAUGUACGAAAGCGUGGGGAGCAAACAGG